UCGCCAGGUGCACAGUGUUUCCCCCGACACAUUGGUGUGGUUGGCUCGUGGGUUAAGUGGGCAUUGGAUCAAGAAGAAGUGCGGCUUGGCUGGGUUGUGUCUUGGCCUUGGCCUCUCCCGACUCUGUAUGGGAGUUGCAGCAAUGAGACAACACUGUAACUACCCAUUGGAUACCACGCAAUUGGGGAGGAAAAAAAGGGGUAACAUUUUAAGUUGUCGAACCAGAUCAGAAAAACCUUCGUGGACCACCUUCAGGCACCGACUGAGAAGGAUGUGGAGGUAAAAAUGAUUGUCCGCUAUUAAUUUAUUUUCUGGCUCUCCAAGAGAUAUGUAAGAAAUGUAUUUGUAAUGUGAAAUAUAAUUGCAUUAAUUGCUGUUAUCAAUUAAGGUGAGACUGAACAUUGUCAAGGCGAAAGAAAAACAGAAGGAGAGCUACUGGAGCAGAGUCAAGAAGGGGACCAAGUGCUACUACAUCCAGGCAAUUUACUUGGUUUGGAAGAAGGACGAAAGGAAGCCGAGACCUGGGAAACCUCGCUGCUCUUUCACUCCUAGCUGGGGUCACCAUCUGUUAACUUGCGGAACACCUCGACAACAUCCGCUGAAAAGGCAGAGCGUGAAAUUCAACUUUCAUACAAGUGCAAUACACCAAAUUAAAGCUUACCUUCUUGUUAAUCUACCCGUUGUAUCCGAUUUCAAAAAGGCUUUACAGCGAAAGCACACCAUAUGAUUAUGUUAGGUCAGAGCCUAGUCACAAAAAAACAUACAGCCAUUUUCCAGCCAAAGAGAGGAGUCACAAGCAGAAAUAGAGAUAAAAUGAAUCACUAACCUUUGAUGAUCUUCAUCAGAUGACACUCAUAGGAUUUCAUGUUACACAAUACAUGUAUGUUUUGUUCAAUAAAGUUCAUAUUUAAAUCCAAAAAUCUCAGUUUACAUUGGCGCGUUGUGUUCAGUAAUGUUACGCCUCAAAUAUCCAACGAAUUUGCAGAGCCACAUCAAUUUGCAGAAAUACUCAUCAACUUUGAUAAAAGAUAAGUGUUAUGCACAGAAUUAAAGAUAUACUUCUCCUUAAUGCAACCUGCUGUGUCAGAUUUCAAAAAAGCUUUACGGAAAAGCACACCAUGCAAUAAUCUGAGUACAGCACUCAGACACAAAAACAACCCAUACAGAUACCUGCCAUGUUGUGGAGUCAGUAAAAAUCAGAAAUGGCGUUAUAAAUAUUCACUUACCUUUGAUCUUCAUCAGAAUGCACUCCCAGGAAUCCCAGUUCCUCAAAGUCCAUUUCUAUCCAAAUACCUCCUUUUAUUAGCGAGUUUUGUUCACAAAUCCAAACUCACGAGGCGCGGGCAAGUCCAGGCGACAGUUCAGACAGAGUCCAAAAAGUUAUAUUACAGUUCGUAGAAACGUCAAACGAUGUAUAGAAUCCAUCUUUGGGAUGUUUUUAUCAUAAAUCUUCAAUAAUGUAUCAACCAGACAAUUCCUUUGUCUUUAGAAAUGCAAUGGAACGCAGGUCGCUCUCACGGCCAAGCACCUGAUUGAAACAGCACUUAUGCGCUCCUCCUUCACAGUAGAAGCCUGAAACAAGACUGUUGACAUCUAGUGGAAGCCUUAGGAAGUGCAAUAUGACCCCAUAGACACUGUAUAUUGGAUAGGCAAUGAGUUGAAAAACUACAAACCUCAGAUUUCCCACUUUCUGGUUGGAUUUUCUCAGGUUUACGCCUGCCAUAUGAGUUCUGUUAUAGUCACCGGUCUUCUAGCCAUCGCCAAUCCAUUUUUCAUUUUCCAUUUGUUUUGUCUCAUUUUCCCACACACCUGGUUCUCAUUUCCCUCAUUAUGUGUUGUGUAUUUAACCCUAUGUUUCCCCCAUGUAUUUGUGUGGCAUUGUUUAUUCUGUUCCAUGUAUCUGCGUGUUAGACUGUUGCGCUGGGUUAUGUCAACCCGUAUUGUAUUUCGUUUUAGUUGUGCCGUGUGCUUUUGGUUCGCCUAAAUAAAAGUCUCUGUUUGCUACCCAAUAUCUGCUCUCCUGCGCCUGAAUCCCUGACAGCCAUUUACGCAUACCUGACACUGAAGCUAGUUUUAGUUUCCCUAACACUGAUAUUUUGAUCUGUCUUCCUAGGGUUACCUCGGUGGAAGCCAACAAUCUUCUACAGUUGGACAGUCAACCACUGAAAGCCCUGACGUCCUACACUUCAGUGAAACCCAAUAGACAACGACCAUCGACUGUCUGAGCCCCCCAGGAGGUAUCCCAUCCACCAGAACCUGUGAGUUCAGAUCAGUCUGAUUGUCACUGCUCUGAGUUGGAGGGGGACCAGCUUGUGGUAGGCUAUACCUUCUAAAGGUGUUGAAAGGACCUAGAGGUUCUGCCUAACACCCAGACAUGGAUCCACCUGAUGUCCUCCAUUACCAACCACCCUCCAACGUUUCAUUACAUCAUCUACUGUUAUUGUAAUGUUGUCAUUAUCUGCUAAGAAAGUUUUCUUCUAUCAUACAGGGCAAUAUUUGAGAUACACAGAUGAACUAAAAACACUAGCACUGCAAACACAGCAGUGCCUGGACUUUGCAGUCUUCCUCUUCAAGUCCCCCUUUCCGAGACUGGCUGCCUGUUGAGAACAAGUGACAGGCAGACCCUCCCACCCAGACAGUAACCACCUCCUUUAUAUUCCACACCCCAGAAUUCAGUAUUUCAGUCGAUGAUUGCCAUGAGUGAACAAAAAAAUCUGUGAAAAUAAAUUAUUGACACAACUGUA